CCUGUGUCCUGUGGAUUGUGUCAGGUUGGAGGACCUGUAUGGAUUGGGUGUCGUGCGGAUCGUGUGUUAGGUGCGAGCAGUCUACUGACCGUGUGGCCUACUCCUGGCGCGGCAGUAGGCGCAGAAAUGCCUAGCCAAAAAGCUGUACGCAACCGGUGAAGGACAUUGCACAUGACAGUGUAGCAUAAACAUAGUAAGUCCAAUCAAAAUAGAACUAGAACUAGCCGGUACAUCCAUGAGUUCCGUUUGACGGGAGACUUUUCCCAUAUUAAGAGCCGGAUGGGUGCAUAGCACUGCUUCCCGCUGGGGCUGUCGACUCCGAUGGGGUGAACGGAGUUAUAUUGGCGACAUCCCAUCGGUGUGUCGUACUCCUCUUGGCGCCUGCCACUGGACGAAUGCCUAGAGCUUGUAAAAAUCGCGGUGCUUCUUCUGGC